UUACGGUCAUAUCACGUUGAAACAUUAGUUCUCGUAUGAUCAUCGAAGUUAAGCAAAGUCGAGCCUGCUCAUUAGCUAGAUGGGUGGCCGCUUGGGAAUACCGGGUGCU